rnacentral:rRNA from 1 species
GACGAACGCUGGCGGCGUGCCUAAUACAUGCAAGUAGGACGCAGUUGCGAACGGGUGAGUAACGCGUAGGUAACUACCUAUUAGAGGGGGAUAACAAUUGGAAACGAUAGCUAAUACCGCAUACUAGUAGAUGGACCUGCUUGGUAUUUGGUAGUAGGUAGGGUAAUGGCCUACCUAGGCAACGAUACAUAGCCGGCCCGAGAGGGUGGUCGGCCAAAAUGGGACUGAGGAACGGCCCAGACUCCUAAGGGAGGCAGCAGGAGGGGAUUUUCGGCAAUGGGGGGAACCCUGACCGAGCAACGGCGGGUGAGUGAAGAAGGUUUUCGGAUCGUAAAGCUCUGUUGUUAAGGAAGCGGUACUUAACCAGAAAGGGACGGCUAACUACGUGCCAGCAGCCGCGGUAAUUC